GUUUGAUUCUGGCUCAGGAUGAACGCUAGCUACAGGCUUAACACAUGCAAGUCGAGGGGCAUCAUGAGCUUAGCUUGCUAAGCUUGAUGGCGACCGGCGCACGGGUGAGUAACGCGUAUCCAACCUUCCCCUUAGUAGGGCAUAGCCCGGUGAAAAUCGGAUUAAUACCCUAUGUUCUUCACAGCGGGCAUCUAACGUGAAGCAAAGGUUCACCGCUAAGGGAUGGGGAUGCGUCUGAUUAGGUAGUCGGCGGGGUAACGGCCCACCGAGCCAUCGAUCAGUAGGGGUUCUGAGAGGAAGGUCCCCCACAUUGGAACUGAGACACGGUCCAAACUCCUACGGGAGGCAGCAGUGAGGAAUAUUGGUCAAUGGCCGAGAGACUGAACCAGCCAAGUAGCGUGCAAGGAUGACGGCCCUAUGGGUUGUAAACUGCUUUUAUGCGGGGAUAAAGUCACCCACGUGUGGGUGUUUGCAGGUACCGCAUGAAUAAGGACCGGCUAAUUCCGUGCCAGCAGCUGC
rnacentral:rRNA from 1 species